rnacentral:lncRNA from 1 species
UUUGGAAACCAUCAAGUACAAAAAUUGAGAGGGAUAACUUCGGCUGUGAGAAUUUUUCUGUACUUCCUUCAUUCGGAACCUAAACUCGGAAGUAGGGGGACUAGUGUUGGGUAUAAAAUACCCCCAGCCAAAGUUUGUAAAAGACCGACCCUUCCAGGACUUUUCUAGCUUUCGACCUUGUGUGGCGUCUUUCUGAACCCCCU